UUUUGCCCUGGAUGUCCCUGC
rnacentral:misc_RNA from 1 species